CAGCGGCAGACGGGUGAGUAACGCGUGGGAACGUACCUUUUGGUUCGGAACAACACAGGGAAACUUGUGCUAAUACCGGAUAAGCCCUUACGGGGAAAGAUUUAUCGCCGAAAGAUCGGCCCGCGUCUGAUUAGCUAGUUGGUGAGGUAAUGGCUCACCAAGGCGACGAUCAGUAGCUGGUCUGAGAGGAUGAUCAGCCACAUUGGGACUGAGACACGGCCCAAACUCCUACGGGAGGCAGCAGUGGGGAAUAUUGGACAAUGGGGGCAACCCUGAUCCAGCCAUGCCGCGUGAGUGAUGAAGGCCCUAGGGUUGUAAAGCUCUUUUGUGCGGGAAGAUAAUGACGGUACCGCAAGAAUAAGCCCCGGCUAACUUCGUGCCAGCAGCCGCGGUAAUACGAAGGGGGCUAGCGUUGCUCGGAAUCACUGGGCGUAAAGGGUGCGUAGGCGGGUCUUUAAGUCAGGGGUGAAAUCCUGGAGCUCAACUCCAGAACUGCCUUUGAUACUGAGGAUCUUGAGUUCGGGAGAGGUGAGUGGAACUGCGAGUGUAGAGGUGAAAUUCGUAGAUAUUCGCAAGAACACCAGUGGCGAAGGCGGCUCACUGGCCCGAUACUGACGCUGAGGCACGAAAGCGUGGGGAGCAAACAGGAUUAGAUACCCUGGUAGUCCACGCCGUAACGAUGAAUGCCAGCCGUUAGUGGGUUUACUCACUAGUGGCGCAGCUAACGCUUUAAGCAUUCCGCCUGGGGAGUACGGUCGCAAGAUUAAAACUCAAAGGAAUUGACGGGGGNCCGCACAAGCGGUGGAGCAUGUGGUUUAAUUCGNCGCAACGCGCAGAACCUUACCAGCCCUUGACAUGUCCAGGACCGGUCGCAGAGAUGUGACCUUCUCUUCGGAGCCUGGAGCACAGGUGCUGCAUGGCUGUCGUCAGCUCGUGUCGUGAGAUGUUGGGUUAAGUCCCGCAACGAGCGCAACCCCCGUCCUUAGUUGCUACCAUUUAGUUGAGCACUCUAAGGAGACUGCCGGUGAUAAGCCGCGAGGAAGGUGGGGAUGACGUCAAGUCCUCAUGGCCCUUACGGGCUGGGCUACACACGUGCUACAAUGGCGGUGACAAUGGGAUGCUAAGGGGCGACCCUUCGCAAAUCUCAAAAAGCCGUCUCAGUUCGGAUUGGGCUCUGCAACUCGAGCCCAUGAAGUUGGAAUCGCUAGUAAUCGUGGAUCAGCACGCCACGGUGAAUACGUUCCCGGGCCUUGUACACACCGCCCGUCACACCAUGGGAGUUGGUUUUACCUGAAGACGGUGCGCUUANUCGCAAGGGAGGCAGCCGG
rnacentral:rRNA from 1 species